rnacentral:rRNA from 1 species
GGAUGAACGCUAGCUACAGGCUUAACACAUGCAAGUCGAGGGGCAGCAUGGUCUUAGCUUGCUAAGGCCGAUGGCGACCGGCGCACGGGUGAGUAACACGUAUCCAACCUGCCGUCUACUCUUGGACAGCCUUCUGAAAGGAAGAUUAAUACAAGAUGGCAUCAUGAGUCCACAUGUUCACAUGAUUAAAGGUAUUCCGGUAGACGAUGGGGAUGCGUUCCAUUAGAUAGUAGGCGGGGUAACGGCCCACCUAGUCUUCGAUGGAUAGGGGUUCUGAGAGGAAGGUCCCCCACAUUGGAACUGAGACACGGUCCAAACUCCUACGGGAGGCAGCAGUGAGGAAUAUUGGUCAAUGGGCGCAGGCCUGAACCAGCCAAGUAGCGUGAAGGAUGACUGCCCUAUGGGUUGUAAACUUCUUUUAUAAAGGAAUAAAGUCGGGUAUGCAUACCCGUUUGCAUGUACUUUAUGAAUAAGGAUCGGCUAACUCCGUGCCAGCAGCCGCGGUAAUACGGAGGAUCCGAGCGUUAUCCGGAUUUAUUGGGUUUAAAGGGAGCGUAGAUGGAUGUUUAAGUCAGUUGUGAAAGUUUGCGGCUCAACCGUAAAAUUGCAGUUGAUACUGGAUAUCUUGAGUGCAGUUGAGGCAGGCGGAAUUCGUGGUGUAGCGGUGAAAUGCUUAGAUAUCACGAAGAACUCCGAUUGCGAAGGCAGCCUGCUAAGCUGCAACUGACAUUGAGGCUCGAAAGUGUGGGUAUCAAACAGGAUUAGAUACCCUGGUAGUCCACACGGUAAACGAUGAAUACUCGCUGUUUGCGAUAUACGGCAAGCGGCCAAGCGAAAGCGUUAAGUAUUCCACCUGGGGAGUACGCCGGCAACGGUGAAACUCAAAGGAAUUGACGGGGGCCCGCACAAGCGGAGGAACAUGUGGUUUAAUCCGAUGAUACGCGAGGAACCUUACCCGGGCUUAAAUUGCAGAUGAAUUACGGUGAAAGCCGUAAGCCGCAAGGCAUCUGUGAAGGUGCUGCAUGGUUGUCGUCAGCUCGUGCCGUGAGGUGUCGGCUUAAGUGCCAUAACGAGCGCAACCCUUGUUGUCAGUUACUAACAGGUUCCGCUGAGGACUCUGACAAGACUGCCAUCGUAAGAUGUGAGGAAGGUGGGGAUGACGUCAAAUCAGCACGGCCCUUACGUCCGGGGCUACACACGUGUUACAAUGGGGGGUACAGAGGGCCGCUACCACGCGAGUGGAUGCCAAUCCCAAAAACCUCUCUCAGUUCGGACUGGAGUCUGCAACCCGACUCCACGAAGCUGGAUUCGCUAGUAAUCGCGCAUCAGCCACGGCGCGGUGAAUACGUUCCCGGGCCUUGUACACACCGCCCGUCAAGCCAUGGGAGCCGGGGGUACCUGAAGUGCGUAACCGCGAGGAG